CUACUCCAAGGUGUACAGCGCCCCCUGUAGAAAUCAAGCACUCCAAACAUGCGGCUAAUGGGGGAUGCUGCACGUGCUGGACAAAUGACGACCGACUAAGUGGCUGGUAAUGUACGUCGAGACAUUUUGUAUUGGCAUUUGCAAUCUCAAGUAAGCAGUCGGAAACAGUGAAUCUUACAAGCAAAUAUUCACCUCGGCAAUGGCUAGACUGCUGAACAUCUUUGCUAACGCUUCUGGCAUUGCCUGUAUCUGUUGGAUUACUAAGGAUCCAUUGGACUACAACAAAAAAUCUUUAAUGUUCUACUGGAGGAAAAAGUUGCACCUUGGCUGUUCUGGGGUUUGCCUUUAUUCUGUGGCUUUCAACAGUGAGUAAGUCUGGUGGUCUUUGAGCUGCUUCAGCCUGCCUUCAUCUCACAGCUGGGAGAUCCAGCUCUUCUGUUCACUGCCAUCCAUGGAGCCCCAAAGGCCUUACUGGCAUAAAU